UACAGAGGUCCCAAGCGUUGUUCGGAUUCACUGGGCGUAAAGGGUGCGUAGGUGGCGGGGUAAGUCUGAUGUGAAAUCUCCAAGCUUAACUUGGAAAUGGCAUUGGAAACUACUCUGCUCGAGGGUUGGAGGGGGGACUGGAAUACUUGGUGUAGCGGUGAAAUGCGUAGAUAUCAAGAGGAACACCUGAGGUGAAGACGGGUUGCUGGGCCGACACUGACGCUGAUGCGCGAAAGCCAGGGGAGCAAACGGG
rnacentral:rRNA from 1 species